ACAGGUUAGUUUUACCCUACUGAUAACCGUUGAGCGUUGCGAUAGAAGUCCUGCUUAGUACGAGAGGAACCGCAGGUCCGGACAUUUGGUUCAUGUGCUUGAUCGAUAGGUCAGUGGCGCGAAGCUACCAUCCGUGGGAUUACGACUGAACGCCUCUAAGUCGGAAUCUCGUCUAGCCA
rnacentral:rRNA from 1 species